rnacentral:rRNA from 1 species
UGGGGAAUUUUGGACAAUGGGCGAAAGCCUGAUCCAGCAAUGCCGCGUGUGUGAAGAAGGCCUUCGGGUUGUAAAGCACUUUUGUCCGGAAAGAAAUCCUUGGCUCUAAUACAGUCGGGGGAUGACGGUACCGGAAGAAUAAGCACCGGCUAACUACGUGCCAGCAGCCGUGGUAAUACGUAGGGUGCAAGCGUUAAUCGGAAUUACUGGGCGUAAAGCGUGCGCAGGCGGUUUGCUAAGACCGAUGUGAAAUCCCCGGGCUCAACCUGGGAACUGCAUUGGUGACUGGCAGGCUAGAGUAUGGCAGAGGGGGGUAGAAUUCCACGUGUAGCAGUGAAAUGCGUAGAGAUGUGGAGGAAUACCGAUGGCGAAGGCAGCCCCCUGGGCCAAUACUGACGCUCAUGCACGAAAGCGUGGGGAGCAAACAGGAUUAGAUACCCUGGUAGUCCACGCCCUAAACGAUGUCAACUAGUUGUUGGGGAUUCAUUCCUUAGUAACGUAGCUAACGCGUGAAGUUGACCGCCUGGGGAGUACGGUCGCAAGAUU